rnacentral:lncRNA from 1 species
CAAAUCUGACCGGGGGACCCCAAAUCUGACCAGGGAACCCCAAAUCUGACCGGGGGGACCCCAAAUCCUCGGCUUUGGGGGGUUCUGGGACAUUUUGGGGUCCAUGAGGGGUUUUUGGCGUCCCCGUGAGUUUUGGGGUGCCCCCUGUGGAUUUUGGGGUCCUUGAGGGGGUCUCUGUGGGGGUUUUGGGGUCCCUUGGGGUCUCUGUGAGUUUUGGGGUACCUCCGGGAUGUUUUGGGGUCUCUGUGAGUUUUGGGGUGCCCCCUGUGGAUUUUGGGGUCCUUGAGGGGGUCUCUGCGGGUUUUUUGGGGUCUCUGUGGGGUUUUUGGGGUCCCACUGGGAUGUUUUGGGGUCCCUGUGGGGUUUUUGGGGUCUCUGUGAAUUUUGGGGUCCCUGCGUGGGGUUUUUGGGGGUCCCUGUGUAUUUUGGGGUCCCCCACUUUGUGCUUUGGGGUCUCUGUGGGGUUUUCGGGGUCCCUGAGGGGUCUCUGUGGGUUUUUUGGGAUCUCUGUGAGUUUUGAGGUCCCCCCGGGAUGUUUUGGGGUCCCCCCCGGGUUUUGGGGUCCCCCCG